rnacentral:lncRNA from 1 species
CCAUAAAUACCCUAGUAAGUGUGGCACUCAGAUAACCUAUGAAGAGAUAUCUUUAAUCUCUUUCAAAGUAUUUGUUUAUCUCUUCACCUCCUGGAUACAUGACUCAAAGGUCACCCUUGAAUGAUCGUGGAAAGUGUCAACUCUGUCUAGACAGGGAUUAUUCUUCAUGUCUACUCACAAAGAAGACAAUUAAGGAUGGAACCACCUGAAUGUGAGUUUCUAUUAUUAAUGAAGCCAAGAUCAGCAGAUCUACACAGAAACCUUUAUGGGAAAAUGAAGAAACCACUGAAGAAAAAUACUGGAGAAAAGGUUAUUGCUUGUUUUACUAUUGUUGUAUAUGAUAAUAUGGUGUUAAUUUGCUGUCUUUAUACAAAAAUUUGUUGGAUGUUGUCUGUAGUAGCUUUAUCCUUAAAAGAUUUUACACCAUGUUUAAUUUUGUGAUAAUCCAUCAGUGAAGGUUUGUGGGAGCUUGGAAAGUAAGUUGAGUUCUACCUGACAGGUAGGUAAAUGGAAAAGUUAGGGCUUAU